UACAGGGGGGGCAAGCGUUGUUCGGAAUUACUGGGCGUAAAGGGCUCGUAGGCGGCCAACUAAGUCACACGUGAAAUCCCCAGGCUUAACCUGGGAACUGCGUGUGAUACUGGAUGGCUUGAAUCCGGGAGAGGGAUGCGGAAUUCCAGGUGUAGCGGUGAAAUGCGUAGAUAUCUGGAGGAACCCCGGUGGCGAAGGCGGCAUCCUGGACCGGUAUUGACGCUGAUGAGCGAAAGCCAGGGGAGCAAACGGG
rnacentral:rRNA from 1 species